UCCUACGGGAGGCAGCAGUGGGGAAUAUUGCACAAUGGGGGAAACCCUGAUGCAGCGACGCCGCGUGAGCGAAGAAGUACCUCGGUAUGUAAAGCUCUAUCAGCAGGGAAGAAGAUGACGGUACCUGACCAAGAAGCUCCGGCUAAAUACGUGCCAGCAGCCGCGGUAAUACGUAGGGGGCAAGCGUUAUCCGGACUUACUGGGUGUAAAGGGAGCGUAGGCGGUGCAGCAAGUCAGAAGUGAAAGCCCGGGGCUCAACUCCGGGACUGCUUUUGAAACUGUUGAACUAGAUUGCAGGAGAGGCA
rnacentral:rRNA from 1 species